rnacentral:pre_miRNA from 9 species
UCUCGAUAGCGUAAAAGUUCAUUCAGAUUCGUAUGGAGUUGGAAUUUUUGCCUACGUUUGCCGCUAGGGGCGCUGUUCCAACUGCAUACAAAUUUGAGUUAACUUUUACGCUAUCGA